rnacentral:rRNA from 1 species
UACGAAGGGUGCAAGCGUUAAUCGGAAUUACUGGGCGUAAAGCGUGCGUAGGUGGUUGUUUAAGUCUGUUGUGAAAGCCCUGGGCUCAACCUGGGAAUUGCAGUGGAUACUGGGCGACUAGAGUGUGGUAGAGGGUAGUGGAAUUCCCGGUGUAGCAGUGAAAUGCGUAGAGAUCGGGAGGAACAUCCAUGGCGAAGGCAGCUACCUGGACCAACACUGACACUGAAGCACGAAAGCGUGGGGAGCAAACAGG